AGUGAACGCUGGCGGUAGGCCUAACACAUGCAAGUCGAACGGCAGCACAGGAGAGCUUGCUCUCUGGGUGGCGAGUGGUGGACGGGUGAGGAAUACAUCGGAAUCUGCCCAGUCGUGGGGGAUAACGUAGGGAAACUUACGCUAAUACCGCAUACGACCUUCGGGUGAAAGAGGGGGAUCGCAAGACCUCUCGCGAUUGGAUGAGCCGAUGUCGGAUUAGCUAGUUGGCGGGGUAAUGGCCCACCAAGGCGACGAUCCGUAGCUGGUCUGAGAGGAUGAUCAGCCACACUGGAACUGAGACACGGUCCAGACUCCUACGGGAGGCAGCAGUGGGGAAUAUUGGACAAUGGGCGCAAGCCUGAUCCAGCCAUACCGCGUGGGUGAAGAAGGCCUUCGGGUUGUAAAGCCCUUUUGUUGGGAAAGAAAUCUUUCAGGCUAAUACCCUGGGAGGAUGACGGUACCCAAAGAAUAAGCACCGGCUAACUUCGUG
rnacentral:rRNA from 1 species